AUUUUUCAGUAAUAACUCUUUGUUCUCUAUUACAACAGCAACCAUAGCUCUAGGAAGAUCAACAGCAACCUGUCUUGUACCUUUGACUUUCUCAUACCCCUUUUUAGCUCAGUGUAUUGUUGAUAUUCACAAACAGUAUUAUGAGGAAUUGUUGUUUGAUCCUCAGUUGUACUUGUUUGAGUAGUAGUUUGCAUUGGUGCUGUAAUUAUUUGAGGAAGAUUUACUUCAGCUGAAACAGGGAUAAUCUCAAUUCUAUCUACAGGGGAUGUAGAUGCAGAA
rnacentral:lncRNA from 1 species